GUCCUAUCAAUCCCAAAACAAGAUUCAGAAGCUAACAAUACUUGAACAUACAUAUCCAAAUUGCAGAAAAACUUCUAUAACACCCCAAUGCCAGGGACUCGUAAUUUAACCAUUGUCACAAAAUGUGUAAUCAGCCUAGUAGUGAACAACCACAAAAAGUUUUAACAUAACAACUGCGACUCCCAAGCUGAACCCACACACAUAAGCAUAUAAAAUAUUUUUAAAAACUCAAGAAUUGCAUAGGGAGACUUGUAAAAGAACUUUGAUCGUUAAAGAAACAAAACAGAUAUGCAUAAAAGUAGACACAAUAACAAAAGAACCAACCGGUCCAUGAUCUUUUAUCCAAACAGAAAUAGGUCUGUUGGCAUCUUCAGGUGCAUAAGGGUCUUUGUUAAGGAAGUCAGGAACCACAACGAAGAACCCAGCAGCUGCAACUUUGUCAGCAAGCUUCCUUCACAAUGGAAGGCAGGUGGCAUUAGUUAAAGGGUAUAGGAUAAUAUGGAAACACCGAACAACAUGAAAAUAUCUGAAGUCGGUAACUGGCACAUGAAAUUUUAUCCUUCUGUAAAUUAUAGAGUGAACAAUCUAAAAAUACAGGUAUAGAUCUUCAAACCAUCAUGAAAGGUUAUUGUAAAAGUCAGGGGAUCCGACAAUUGUUAUACGAUAUCUGAUACUCAUAGACAAUCCGAAACUAUUGGUUGCAACUAUCUUUCAAAAAUAAGUCAGAUAUAGAUAUAGAAUCAUAGAUUACAGACCUACUGUAACUUUUUCUUUUUUUUUUCUUCCUUAACGAUUGAAUUAUUUCAAGUAAACUGUUCAUCAAAUUUAAGUAGCAAGUGUAAAUAUCCGAAAGCGAAAAGUCAUCAUACCUCAAGUUUGGAGCUUCAAAUCCUGAAUGACAAAGAAAACAUUCAACAUUACAAAGCAGUUAUACAAAACACACACUUUCAUCACAGAUUUGAACAACACAUAAGCUAGAUUAUCAAGACUUUAUCAGAAUUGGAGGGAAAAAAAUCCAAAAAUUCAAAGGGGAAGGGAAAAUGUCAUAAAUUUAGGAAACCCAUCAACAAACAUAGCCUAAAAAUCAAUACCCAUUAAACCAAAAACCCAUAUAAAAAUAGACAACAAGGAAACAAACCCAUGUCGUAGAAUGAAGAAAGGAGAGGUUUUUUAAGUGGUGGGAAAGUUACCAUAAACGUCAGAGAUGAGAAGAACGGCAAGGUUGGAAUCAGGGGAGCCAGUGACAUAGGAGUCCAGACCGCCGAGGCUUUCGACAUGGCCGGUGCCGCUGGAGGGGUUCAGGGUCGGAGGGUUUGAGCAGCACUCAGAGCUUGCCAUUAUUUCUUUCCUUUUCUCUCCCUGAAUUCACACUCUUUGUCGGUGUUUGAUUGAGCUAGGGAUUUGGAUCCUCUCCUGAGCUAAUGGAGAGGAUCCUCCUGACCAAAUGUUGUGCAUCGUUGAAUUUUUAUCCAACGGCUAUAAACAGAUGGGUCUUUUAAAGUUAUAAUAAUUAUAACAGUUGGAUGAAAAUUCAACGGCCCAUAACACUUGGUCAGGAGGAUCCUCUCUAUUAGCUCAGGAGAGGAUCCAAAUCCCCGCACAGCGGAGACUAUAUUUAAAUAUAAUUAUUAUUAAGUAUUACAGUACUACCACGCCGUCCAUGAUGCUUACAUUUAGGGAUAUGAUAUCCACACACUUCUUUUUACUUCUCCCACACUUUUUUAGUUUUUGACCGUCGGAUCGGAUGAAUCGAAGAAAAUCAACGAACAGAAAUUAACAAGGGGUGUGUGAGAAGUAAAAAUGGAUGUGUGAAUAGCACACCCCUCAUUUAUAAUUUGAUAUUAACCGUUUAUUUGUUUUUUUUGGCUGAACUUUCAACUUGUUUUAAAAAAUUACCAAUUAAAUAAAAAGAAAAUAUCACCCGUCCAUCCUCAUCUCCCAUUUGGAUUCAUCAUGGGUGAAUAACGUGGAAGCAGUUCAAGUACCAACCCGAGUUAAUGAGGCAUUGAAGGAUCCGAAAUGGGCUACUGAAAUGGAUGAAGAAAUGAUGGCACUACAUAAGAAUGAUACAUGGGAAGUAAUGGAACUACCAAAGGGGAAAGGGCCGGUCGGAUGUAGAUGGGUCUUUACAAUUAAAUACAAGGCCGACAGAUCAAUAGACAAGUAUAAAGCAAGGUUAGUGGCAAAAGGUUAUACUCAAACGUACAAUGUUGAUUACCAAGAAACCUUUUCUUCAGUAGCAAAGAUGAAUACAAUACGGGGUUCCUAUUUCACUAGCUGCAAAUUUGAAUUGGUCACUGAAACAAUUUGAUGUUAAAAAGAAGUGUUUAUGGAUUUUCCUCUGAGUAUAAUGCUGAAGGGAAAACCGAAGUAUGUAGGUUGCAAAAGUCUCUUUCUGGACUUAAGCAAUCACCUCGUGCAUGGUUUGGUAGAUUUACUCAAGUUAUGAGAAGGAAGGGAUAUUAUCAUAGUCACUCUGACCAUACAUUGUUUGUAAAAUGGAGAAGUGGUAAUGUGACAACCUUAAUUAUUUAUGUGGAUGACAUGAUAAUAACAGGUGAUGAUUUGGAAGAGAUGAUGAAGCUGGAAGCAAGUCUUGCCGCCGAGUUCGAGAUGAAGAAUUUGGGAGACAAAAUAUUUUCUUGGAGUAGAAGUGGCUAGUUCAUCUUGAGGUAUUUUCUUGUCUCAACGUAAAUAUGUUAUGGAUUUAUUAAAAGAGACAGACAUGCUGGGAUGUAAACCGGUGGACACUCCUAUUGUAGAGAAGCAUUAUUUAGGGAUUUAUCUAGAUCAAGAAUCGGUUGACAAAGGCAGAUAUCAGAGACUGGUAGGGAGAGUAAUUUAUUUGUCCCACACUCGUUCGGAUAUUGCCUAUGCAGUAAGUGUGGUGAGUCAAUUUAUGCACUCGCCGAGUGUGGAGCAUAUGGCGACAAUUAUGAGGAUUCUAGCGUAUUUAAAGUCUGCUCCUGGAAAGGGAAUCCUGUAUAAGCCUCAUGGACACGUGAGGAUUGAGGGAUUAACUAAUGCUAAUUGGGCAUGUGAUGUGAUUGAUAGGCGUUCUACGUCUGGAUAUUUUACAUUCGUUGGAGAAAAUUUGGUUACUUGGCAGAGCAAGAAACAGAGGGUGGUGUCUCAAUCUUCUGCUGAGGCGGAAUACAGGAGCAUGGCGCAUGGUGUGUGCAAGAUUCUUUGGCUACGGAAGUUGAUUUGAAGUCUCGGAUUUAAACAAGAAGAGGCAAUGAAAUUGUAUUGUGACAAGUCGGCAAGAGAGAUAGCAGAGAAUCCAGUACAACAUGAUACAACUAAGUAUGUUGAGGUUGAUCGACAUUUCAUUAAAGAAAAGCUUGAGAAGAAGAUUGUUUCAAUACCAUUUGUGAAAUCGGAAGAACAACUUUCAGAUGUUCUUACUCAUGCCGUGUGUAGUAGAGCUUUUGAUGACUUACCUAUCAAGUUGGGCAUGUGUGAUAUCUAUGCACCAACUUGAGGAGGAGUAUUGCAUGAGUCACUGUAUAGGAAAAGAGAAUGUAAAUAUUGUGUAAAUAUUAGUCAUGUUUUAGGAAGGUAAUAUUAAUGUCCUUUAUUGUUUCCUUAUGUAAUAAGGAUUGUAUGUACUUAUAUUCAAAAUUAUGGAAUACAUGAAAAUUAAGCUGUAAAAUUCUAUUACAAAACUUUAAACAAAUACGAACAUAAAACUCCAGAGGCAUUAUUUAUCCAUUACUAAUAGAUAGCAGCUGAUAAGGAAAACCACUUCAACAAAUCUUGAUGAGGCCACUCACUUGACAUGGUUCAAGAACCACUUCAACAAAUCUUGAUGAGCCUCCUCGGCAGACUUACAAGCUGCUUCGUCUUCAACACUGUACCUCACCGUCCACCCAUGUGACACUUUCGGGAAUAUUUUCACAUGGCUCUUAACCUGUGAUUCCACAAAACCAACAAUCGUUUCAACAAAUUUCAAAAGUUUACCACUACAAGCUACCACAGUGGUGAAUCCUAAUGUGAAGGGGGGUGUUUUUGGUGUUGUCCUAUCAUUUCUUCAAAAAGAACAAAAUGAAAAUGUUUUCAAAGUUCGUACAAAACGGUAUAUGACCCUGAUUGGAAAUUAAAAUAUAAUAUCUUAACGUAGUAUAUAAGCUCACUGGCCCCCUUCCCUUACAAGUCAUAUUUGUAAGGGCAAGUUACCUAUAACUAUAAGCCAUGCAUAAUUAUAUUUCAUAAUAUGAUAGAAAAAGUUCGCCAUGCAUCCCAAGUUGAGGAAUGUCCAUGAUUAGAAUAAACAAACUAACAAAGCCACAAAAGUAUUGAAGACUAUUCGGAUGAAGGAGAUUUCUACCUCAGGUUUUGCAGUUAAAACCUCUUCAAACUGUUUCACGACUUCAGGCGGAGACAUCUGAUCAAUCUCAGCUCCAAGUACAGAAAUAGGAACCUUAACCUCUGAAAGUAAGUCCAGGAAUAGAUCAUAAAGUGAGUGUGAGACUAAUUUUUUGUUCCAAUAAUGGAUUAGAUAUUUCCUGAAUAUUACUACAGGUAUCUUACCCUUGAUAUCAUCCACAGUGACUAAUGAUGGAUGACACAGAACAGCAGCUUGAAUUAAAGCGUGCUUUGAAAGUUCAACCACAACCUUGGCUGAAAACAGCGCAAAUAGUUCAAUGUCAGCUGAAACAAUAUUUUCCAUAUUGGUUGAACUACUGAAACAAGAGUGAUAAGUAAAACAUUGCCUAAACAUUAUCCAAAUGUCUAAACGAGAAACAUUUUUGUUACACUCAAAAAGCAACAAAUUAAAUAUAUACAAGGAAAAAUGAAAUAGAGCAACUAAGAUGUUAACGAGAAAUGAACGUGAACUCACCUCCCCAACAGAAGCCUGCAGCACCGAUUGCAGAAACACCUUUACUUUUUAAAGCUUCAAGAACUGGCUUUGCAUCCUCAAAUCCCUUGUCCUAUCAAUCCCAAAACAAGAUUCAGAAGCUAACAAUACUUGGAACAUAUCCAAAUUGCAGAAAAACUUUUAUAACACCCCAAUGCCAGGGACUCGUAAUUUAACCAUUGUCACAAAAGGUGGAAUCAGCCUAGUAGUGAACAACCAUAAAAAGUUUUAACAUAACAACAGUCUUCAUGCACUCCCAAGCUGAACCCACACACAUAAGCAUAUAAAAUAUUUUUAAAAACUCAAGAAUUGCAUAGGGAGACUUGUAAAAGCACUUUGAUCGUUAAAGAAACAAAACAGAUAUGCAUAAAAGUAGACACAAUAACAAAAGAACCAACCGGUCCAUGAUCUUUUAUCCAAACGGAAAUAGGUCUGUUGGCAUCUUCAGGUGCAUAAGGGUCUUUGUUAAGGAAGUCGGGAACCACAACGAAGAACCCAGCAGCUGCAACUUUGUCAGCAAGCUUCCUUCACAAUGGAAGGCAAGUGGCAUUAGUUAAAGGGUACAGGAUAUUAUGGAAACACCGAACAACAUGAAAAUAUCUGAAGUCGGUAACUGGCACGUGAAAUUUUAUCCUUCUGUAAAUUAUAGAGUGAACAAUCUAAAAAUACAGGUAUAGAUCUUCAAACCAUCAUGAAAGGUUAUUGUAAAAGUCAGGGGAUCCGACAAUUGUUAUACGAUAUCUGAUACUCAUAGACAAUCCGAAACUAUUGGUUGCAACUAUCUUUCAAAAAUAAGUCAGAUAUAGAUAUAGAAUCAUAGAUUACAGACCUACUGUAAUUUUUUUUUUUUUUUUCCUUCCUUAACGAUUGAAUUAUUUCAAUUAAACUGCUCAUCAAAUUUAAGCAGCAAGUGUAAAUAUCCGAAAGCGAAAAGUCAUCACACCUCAAGUUUGGAGCUUCAAAUCCUGAAUGACAAAGCAAACAUUCAACAUUACGAAGCAGUUAUACAAAACAGACACUUUCAUCAAAAAAUUGAACAACACAUAAGCUAGAUUAUCAAGACUUUAUCAGAAUUGGAGGGAAAAAAUCCAAAAAUUCAAAGGGGAAGGGAAAAUGUCAUAAAUUUAGGAAACCCAUCAACAAACAUAGCCUAAAAAUCAACACCCAUUAAACCAAAAACCCAUAUAAAAAUGGACAACAAGGAAACAAACCCAUGUCGUAGAAUGAAGAAAGGAGAGGUUUUUUAAGUGGUGGAAAAGUUACCGUAAAUGUCAGAGAUGAGAAGAACAGCAAGGUUGGAAUCAGGGGAGCCAGUGACAUAGGAGUCGAGACCGCCGAGGCUUUCGACAUGGCCGGUGCCGCUGGAGGGGUUCAGGGUCGGAGGGUUUGAGCAGCACUCAGAGCUUGCCAUGAUUUCUUUCCUUUUCUCUGCCUGAAUUCACACUCUUUGUUGGUGUUCGAUUGAGCUAGCACAGCGGAGACUAUAUUUAAAUAUAAAAAUUAUCAAGUAUUACAGUACUACCACGUCGUCCAUGAUGCUUUCAUUUAUAAUUUGAUAUUAACCGUUUAUUUGUUUUUUUUUUUUGCUGAACUUUCAACUUGUUUUAAAAAAUUACCAGUUAAAUAAAAAGAAAAUAUCACCCGUCAUCCUCAUCUCCCAUUUGUAUUCCACCAAACAGUUAAAUUUCGUGAAUAUUUUUGCAAAAAAAAAAAAAUUAAUUCUUUUUCAUUUUGAUUGGAGGAUCAUUUUCCACUUAAUUCAUUAAGUUCGGGAUCUGAGCCGUUCAAAUUUGAUCUAACGAUUACAGUUAUUAUAACUUUUAAAGAUCACCUUAUUUGUAGCCGUUUGAUCAAAUUUCAACAGUCAAAAUCACAAACUUAAUGAAUUAGGUGAAAAGGAAUCCGGAUAAUCCCUUUCCGUUUUGAUUGAUUCUCAUUGAAUUUCAAGUGACAUGGGAGACUUCUUUUAUAUUUUGUUUUUUAUUGAAUUCUUUACUUUUUCAAUGACGGGAUGAAUGACGUAAGCCUAAUGCGAAAAGUCUGAGGAGAAUUGCUAAGAGCUAGAGUCCAGGACUACAAGACUUCAAGAACGUGUUUACGUGUUCGAUAUCAGAAUCAAAGGUCAGUGUGAUUCUGAUUACGGGUUAUUUUUGUAUUUAAAAAAAUUUGGAUGAAUCAAAAUGGGUGGGGCCCACUUGAAAUAUAGGAAUUGAAUUCUUGAUUUUGAAGGAAUUGAACUCCUGAGUAGGAUGUGUCAUUUGAAUUCCGUCUAAUUCCUAAAAACUCCAUCUAAUUCCUAAAAACUCCAAAUCUGCCACUCAAAUCAACAAGCCCAGACCUCUCUGCUUGCCUCCCAUUCACCUCCCCGUGCCCCAGUGAACCAAUCUCAAGAAUCCUAGAGCGUCUUCAGAUAUCGUAGUGAGCUGGUUGUUCUUUGGUUGUGGCAUCGUGGUCGUGUGGGGAUGGAGGUGCAACGAGCGAGAGAGAUCAAUGGAUGCGCAUGAAAUGAUGAUGAAGGAUCCACAAAAAAUAAAAUGGAGGAGAGGGAGGGAGAGAAUGGUGGCAAGGGUUAGCAGGGCGACCGUCCAAGGCCUAAAAAACUCGAGGGGCACCAAAAAUUGAUAGAGUAGUAUAUUCAUAUAUAUUUCCAUAAGCAUAUAAAUUUUGAAACCUUGGUUAAAUCAAUAAGAACUUUAGGCAGGAGUGGUGGUGUUUCGCUGCCAACUUAACAAGACGAUGUUGUGUUCGAAACCCGAUAUGUUCAUUUUUUUUUCCAAUUUUUUACGAUAUUCUGUUAAUUUGCACAACAAACUAAACAUUUAACUUAAUGCUAAGAACUCAUUAAAAUACAAAUAAUUAAUAAAACAAUACAUUAGAAAUAUGGUGCCCAACACCUAUUAAUGUUCUUCCUCAACCCUUUUGUCGUUUCUUUUAACUUCCCUGGGAAGCGGCCAUAAGCCAUGCCUCUCAAUUUCUCUUAUUUUAUUUAUGAAGAAAUAUAAUUCUUGAAAAAAUAAUUUUACAGUAACAAUCACAUAUGGUUGUAGGUCGGAGAAAAUUGCAAAGGCAUAGGGAGGAAGAGGUAGAAUUGAAGGAUUUUGAUGACAAAUUUACCUAGCUAACGAAUUUCAGAAAAAAUUAUGAAAAAAAUGUCAUUAGUUCUACAAGAUUUAGGGGUUAAAGUGUGAACGAUGAGAGGUUCUUGUCGAGAGGCAUAGUUGUUGCGACCCGUGGAGGAAGUGAAAGAGAUAAAAGUGAAGGAAUAAAAGUUAAAGUUCGAGGAAGAACAAAGAUAAGUGGUGGGACUCAGAAUUCUAAUUAUCUUUAAUUCUCUCAUGCAUUGCUUAUACAUUUCAAUUAAAAACUCAAAAAUAUGAUAUAUAUUUUUUAGUCACAUAUUGACAAAGUAAGUAAAUAAGAAAAAACACCUCACAAUUUUAUAUAAAAGCACUCCAAAAUUUCGAGGGGAAACAUCUACUUGUAAGCCGGGGUUUUUUUGGUUCCCUUCUCUCAAACCAAAUGUUGUGUCAUCAAUAGAAAUAAGCACGUUAAUCAACCCUUAAAUAAUAAUCCAAUUAUCAACUUCCAUGUUAUUUAGUUUACCAUAUUUUGUCUACAAAUUUAGUCUUCUUAACAUUACCCUUUCCAAAUUAUUAAAUUUGGUGUGCUUUUUCUAUGUGUUAUUUUAUCGAAAUCUUACCUGUAAAAACAAAUCAUUUUUAUUAUAUAUGGAGUUAGGACAUAUUUUUUUAUGUCGUCCUGGGCCUCAAAAAUCUCAGGACCGGCUCUGAAUGGUGGCGGUAGUGACUGUUGAGGACUGACGAAGGAUACUGGGGAGAAGAGAAAAGACGUGAAAAAUUAGGUUUCAAAAGGCAGAAAACUUGGGAAGUUAUGGGGUUGGUAUAAAAAAUUGGGAGUUUUAACGAAACACUCCCGAUACUAUUCACUUUUAAUGAAAAACCACAUUUUUACCUUUUUCUGGUACUAUUCACUACACUUUUAUUUGUCAUUUUUCAUUAAAACUAAAAAAAAAUUGGAUUUUUAGUGAGUUUUUCUUUAAAAAAUUGGGUUUGAAAAGGUGUUGACCCUAAAAACUACUAAGCCUACGUGGCGCGCAGGCCGAGUAAUUUAUAAGCUAAUUACGUCAUUCGGUUGAAUGCGGGGCGUGCCAACUCGUCGGCCGAGCUUGGCCGAGGAGUAAAAUUUAUCGAUGUUGCGUUGGGUGCGCAGCUGACUUCUGCAUCUUGCGAUUGCGACCGAGAAAGGAACACGUCUCGGCCUCUUGGGUUCUCGAACUUGAAGAUAAGGCUACUAUUCUUACGAAGUUCACGAAUCGUCGUCGUUGGAUUCGGUCACAGUGAUGGUAUUCCUCAGAGUAAACUCACGUCGAAUCGACACCAAAGUGUAAGGGCACAAAUACUCAAAGCGGAUAUAAGUCUUAAUAGUGAACGUGGUUCGGCCGUCUGAAUGCCGAACUCCAAAUCCCACUUGAGAGUAUCCAAUCAUAAAAUAACUCAGCGUGCAAUGCGCCGAGCUCAGUAAGUUUUAACACUUCACUUCUCCGAGAAGGCUAAUGAGAUGACCUCGAUCAAUAAGGAUUCGGAAAUCCUUCUCGACCGAGACUUGGAUAGGUAACCAACCACCUUCGCCGCAGUGCUGUUGAUGCCAACGGAAGAUGCUGCGAGAUCGACUAAUUUUACGGCGAUAGAGCUAUCUAUGCCGACUGAAGAUAUCACCGGUUGCUUUCACAGUGCUGUUGAUGCCAACGGAAGAUGUGUCAGCGAAAAGAGAAAAUAAAAAUCUCAAAGUUGUUGAGAGAGUUUGCGUAGGGUAGUUGUGUGUUGAAUUGGAUGGGCUUUCAAUGGUGUUCGCAACCUUGUAUUUAUAGACGCAGAUGUGUGGUGCGGCUUCACACUAGUGUAGGAUUUGAUUUCAAUUCACACUUAUCAGCCAGAGUCCCAGUCAAACACUUCUCAAGGUAAGCAGCAGCCUAUCUUCUAGAUGUCAUCAUUAUCUCCUUAUUUUAUGCAAAUAAUUAACAUGCAUAAUGGCCUCCACAGCUCUGGAACCAAAGCAUGCUGAUAAUUAACAUGCAAGCCUAGCCAUUCACUUCCACAAGACUCGGUAACCCGCCAAAAUCCAAGGAUACAUGCCAUUUGGUGGUCAUUUGCUUUCCAUGUGGAGACCAUCAAAAUAAAACCUUUUUUCAUGCCAUCUUUAUCCAUCCAAACCAUUUCCAACUUUUGCACUGCAUUUAAUGAAAUUAUCACAUGCAUGCAUAAAAAAUCAUGGCUGGUAGUUUUGCAUUAUCUGCAAAACCACCCUGAUCCCAUCACAUCACUUUACUUUGAUUAUUCCACACGUCUACACACAUCCCAACUUAAUUUGAAAUGUACCACUUGCUUAGAGAUAUAAUUCGCAUCUGUCAAGAUAAUUAAAAGAUAAUUAUUAUGAUAAAAACCAUAAUAUUAUCUUUUAACAACAACAAAACUAUCUUCACUUUUCCAUCCAACGGUUGAGAGCUAUGCUCACUCGACGGCCUUGAUUGCACAGGCCGAUGGUGUAAAUUCAAAUUCAGAAGUGAAUUGGUAAACAACUUAUAUGAAACCAACACCAUUCCUAUUCCAUUUCGUGAUAAUUUAGUAAACACCUUUUAUAGGAAUCUGAUUCUAAUUCCUCCCCAAUCCAAUUCUGCAUCAAUAUUCCUUAUCAAUUCAAUUUCUCCCAUUUUGAUUACGGAUUAGUAAAUGAGCCACAAGAGUAUGGCUCCAAACCAAACCCAGUACACCAAGUUGGUCAUUUGUGAAAGUGAAAGGGUCUGUUACGGUUGGAAGUAAAUUGCAGAAUAUGAGUGAUCAGUUGAUGUAUUGUGCAUGCCGAUGAGUUGCAUAUCGCAACUAUCCAUUAAAAGAUCGUAUUAGAGAAAACCGCUUAAUGUAUGGUUCUGUUCGAUUUAGAAUAUAAUUAUUUUUUUUAUGAUGCACUAAUCAACUUCAUCAAACUCAUUAGCAUGAAUUAUACCACUCGCCAAAUACCAAACCUUAAAGCACCACAUUGUUCUGAAACCUCUACUCUUCCAAGCAACAAAUUUUAUAUACAAAUAUUGGUACCAUAAAAAGUGCAGGCAUUAUUCUAAUUCAUAGUAAAUAGAACUCUGUUGAUACGAUAAUGUUUAAAUAAGUCUUGUCUUUUAGAAACAAUAGUGCUUUACAGUGAUGACAAUACCAGUCACUUGACAUGGUUCAGGAGCCCACUCUAGCAAGUCUUGAUGAGCAUCUUCGGGAGCUUUACAAGCCGCUUCGUCUUCAACGUCUUACCUCGUGUUCCACUUUCGGGAAAUUCUUCACAUGGCUUUUAAUCUGCGAUUCCAUAAAACCCCCGGCCAUUCCAAAUAUAUAACGCAAAACAUUGAAGAAAGAAGGUAGAAUAUGUAAGCAUAUAUUGAUGAUUGAAUUAUUAUUUAAGUGUUGAUACACGUGCUUAUUUCUUAUUAGUGACACAUGAUUUAGUUUGUAAAUUUAGUCUACCUAGCAUUAUUCUGUAAACAUUCUUUUGCCUUUGCCCAUCCCUCUUUUUUCCUUUGUAAUUCCCAUCUGUUCCUAACCAAAGUGUGAAAACUGGUUAUCAUGUGCCGGAAACAAAAUCAUUAAGUUUAUAAAACUCCCUUUUUUGGUGGGGGGCACAACUCAUUGGGCAUCUUGAACUAGUACUAUACUUACAUGACACCCAAAUGGUGUUGGGGGUUCUUCCGGGUUACACGGAGGAGGCCGGUCGAGGACCGUCAGUUCAAUCAAACUACAAAACUUUACAAACAUACACUAGUUCAUAAACCUCCAGAGGCAUUAUUUAACCACUACCAAUAGAAAGCAGCUGAUAGGAUAAGGAAAUCCACUACAGUGAUGAUGUCACUCCCUUGACAUGGUUCAAGAGCCACUCCAACAAGUCUUGAUGAGCCUCCUCGGCAGAUUUACAAGCUGCUUCGUCUUCAACAUUGUACCUCACCGUCCACCCGUGUGACACUUUGGGGAAUAUCUUCACAUGGCUCUUAACCUGUGAUUCCACAAAACCAACAAUCGUUUCAACAAAUUUCAAAAGUUUGCCACUACAAGCCACCACAGUGGUGAACCCUAAUGUGAAGGGGGGGGGGGGUGUGUUCCUCGUGUUGUCCUAUCAUUUCUUCACAGAGAACAAAAUUAAAAUGUUUUUGAAGUUCAUACAAAACAGUGUACGACCAUCAUUGGAAAUUAAAUAGAAUGUCUUGGCAUAACAUAUAAGCUCUCUGGCACCCUUCCCUUACAAAGUUACAAGUCAUUUUUGGAAGGGCAAGUUACCUUUAACUACAAGCCAUGCACAAUUAUAUUUCAUUAUAUGAUACACAAAGCAGGCAUCUCAAGUUGAGGAAUGUCCGUGACUAGAAUAAACAACUAACAAAAGCACAAGUACUGAAGACUGUUCGGAUGAAAGAUAUAUUCCUACCUCAGAUUUUGCAGUUAAAACCUCUUCAAACUGUUUCACAACUUCAGGUGGAGAUAUCCGAUCAAACUCAGCUCCAAGUAUAGAAAUAGGAACCUUAACCUCUGAAAGUAGUUCCAGGAAUAGACGAGUGUGAGACUAACUUUUUGUUCCAAUAAUGGUGUCCAAGUAGAUAUUUCCUGAAUAUUAAUACAGAUAUCUUACCCUUUAUAUCAUCCACAGUGACAAAUGUAGGAUGACACAGAACAGCAGCUUGAAUUAAAGCGCGCUUUGCAAGUUCAACCACAACCUUGGCUGAAAACAGCGCAAAUAGUUCAAUGUCGACCGAAACAAUAUUUUCCAUAUUGGUUGAACUAUUGAAACAAGAGUGAUAAGUAAAACACUGCCUAAACAUUAGCCAAAAGUCCAAACGAGAAACAUUUUUGUUACACUGAAAAAGCAACAAAUAACCCACAAAGUAAAUGGAUUAUGGAGAUAAGGAAAAAUAAAAUAGAGCAACCAAGAUGUUAACAGGAAAGGAAAAUGAACUCACCUCCCCAACAGAAGCCUGCAGCACCGAUUGAAGAAACGCCUUUUCUUUUUAAAGCUUCAAGAACUAGCUUUGCAUCCUCAAAUCCCUUGUCCUAUCAAUCCAAAAACCAGAUUUAGAAGCUAACAAUACUUGAACAUACCCAAAUUGCAGAGAAACUUUUAUAACACCCCAAUGCUAGGGACUCGUAACUUAACCAUUGUCACAAAAGCUGGAAUCAGCCUAGUAGUGAACAACCAUAAAAAGUUUUGACAUAAAUAAUCAUGGGAUUGCCAAGCUGAACCCGCACACAUAAGCAUCUAAAAUAUUUUAGUAAACUCAAGAAUUGCAUAGGGAGACUUGUAAAAGUACUUCGAUCAUCAAAGAAACAAAACAGAUAUGCAUAAAAGUAGACAUAACAACAAAAGAACCAACCGGUCUAUGAUCUUUUAUCCAAACAGGAAGAGGUCUAUUGGCAUCUUCAGGUGCAUAAGGAUCUUUGUUAAAGAAGUCGGGAACCACAACAAAGAAUCCAGCAGCUGCUACUUUAUCAGCAAGCUUCCUUCAAAAUGGAAGGCAGGUGGCAUUAGUUAAAGGGUAUACGAUAUUGUGGAAACACGGAAACUACAAAGUGAUUCCACAGUUUUCUUCGAUGAAAAUAGCUGAUGUCGGUAACCGGCACGCGAAAUUUUAUCGUUCUGUACAUUACAGAGUGAACAACCUAAAAAUACAGUUAUAGAUCUUCAAAUCAUCAUAAAAGGUCAUUGCAUAGGCAGGGGAUCGGACAAUAUCUGAUACUGAUAUACAAUCCGAAACUAUUGGUUGUAACUAUCUUUCAAAAUUAAGUUAGAUAUAGAUAUAGAAUCAUAGAUUAUAGACCUAUAGUAACUUUUUUUUUUUUUCUUCCUUAACGAUUGUAUUAUUUCAAGUAAUUACUCAUCAAAUUUAACCAGCAAGUGUCACUGAUGUCCCCGAGUCAAUAUCCGAAAGCGAAAAGGGACAGCAUAAAACGUUCGGGUGCAAGAAAAAGCGAUUCGCAGAAUUCAUCUAGCACAUUAUCCACUGCAAAUAAAAUUAGCAGUCGAAAAACCAAUAAAGAGACUAGUC
rnacentral:lncRNA from 1 species